GGUACCAAUUUACUGUAUUAGUUCAUUUUCACACUUCUGAUAAAAGCAUACCCGAGACUGAGAAGAAAAAGAGGUUUAAUUGGACUUACAGUUCCACAUUGCUGGGGAGGCCUCAGAAUCACGGCAAGAGGCGAAAGGAACUUCUUACAUUGGCAGCAGCAGAAGAAAAUGAGAGAAGCAAAAGGAGAAACCCUUGAUAAACCCAUCAUAUUUCAUGAGACUUAUUCACUAUCAUGAGACUAGCACAGGAAAGACCAGCCCCCCUGAUUCAAUUACUUCUCCCUGGGUCCCUUCCACAACACGUGGGAAUUCUGGGAGAUACAAUUCAAGUUGAGAUUUGGAUGGGGAUACAGCCAAACCAUAACAAGGCAGGAAUUAUUAUUAACCCAUCUUCCCAAUAAGGGAACUGAGGCUGAAAGGAAGGGAUUUGCCCAGAAUCACACAGCUGGGAAAUGAGCAAGCCAGAACUUGCCUCAGGUGUGAUGAUCUCCAAGUCCAGGCAUACCCUUAGCCCCCAGGUCGCCCAAGUCCAGUUACCUCUGUUAACCAGGCAGCCCAGGAGGCAGUGCCACCGGCAGACAUCGUAUUCUCAGUGAAGAAGCCACCGAGUGCCGGCUGCCUGGUGAUGGUGUCUCGUGGCGUCUUGGCAGAUGAGCCACCCAGCCUGGACCCCGUGCAGAGCUUCUCCCAGGAGGCAGUGGACACGGGCAGAGUCCUGUACCUGCACUCCCGCCCUGAGGCCUGGAGCGAUGCCUUCUCACUGGAUGUGCCCUCGGGCCUGGGUGCUCCCCUCGAGGGUGUCCGCGUGGAGCUGGAGGUGCUACCCGCUGCCAUCCCACUGGAUGCGCAAAACUUCAGCGUCCCUGAGGGUGGCAGCCUCACCCUGGCCCCUCCACUGCUCCGUGUCACCGGGCCCUACUUCCCCACUCUCCCGGGCCUUGGCCUGCAGGUGCUGGAGCCACCCCGGCAUGGGGCUCUGCAGAAGGAGGACGGACCUCAAGCCAGGACCCUCAGCGCCUUCUCCUGGAGAGAGCUCCUCUGGGAGCCAGAACUUAUGGUCCCCAUUUUCCACCAAUGGAAGCUGAAGCCCUAAAAGAGUCAGUCUCCUCCUGCACCCAAAGGCAGGACAUGAAGGGUGCUGCUGGGGCCUGACUAGCCCUGGGCCUGCCCGUCAGUGGAAGAGCAGCUGAUCCGCUACGUGCACGACGGGAGCGAGACACUGACAGGCAGUUUUGUCCUGAUGACUGACACCUCCAAGAUGGGCUGCCAGAGCCAUCCUGUGGCCUUCACUGUCACCGUCCUGCCUGUCAAUGACCAACCCCCCCGUCCUCACUACAAACACAGGCCUGCAGGUGAGAGUAUUCCUGGCACCAUCCCCCAUGUCUGCUUCGAGAAAGAGGCCAGCGUCCCCUACUUCCCAGCACAGAGCUCCCCGUCUUUGAGCCUCAGUUACCUCCUCUGCAAAAUGGGGACGCUGCCGCAUGCCUCACAGGGUUGUUGGAAGGAGAGUUGUGAGAUUGUGCUGAAAUAGAACACAGGUGGGAGGUUUUGUUAUGGAUACUUGCAAGUAAGGUAGGCAGACUUCUGAGCGGCCACAGGUGGCUCUGCUGUUCCUUCUCCUGUGGCUCAGGACCAGAACACCCGACAGAAUCACUUACAAGCCCAUAAGGGCAGGUUUAAGGGCAGGAGCCAAUAAGAUUCCCACCUUCACCCCAGCAAGUAAAGGCCGUGGCUUGGCUCCCCAGACUCCUCCCCCUUGUGCCACAGCAGAGCAGGACCCCCUUUUGGCAGAGGUGGAAGUUGAGGCCCAGACAUGGGGUGGAACUUCUCCAUGCUUGUGAAAGUAGUUCUGGUAGAACAGAAAGGGCAUGGCUUCACUAAGCCCACAUGGCAGGACUUUGAAUGCCGGCUUCUGGGGUGCGUCCUCCUGGGUCAGCAAGAGUCCCUGAAGGUUCCACAGGAGAGCUGUCUUGGGCUGCCUCUGACAUGGGGCACUGAGGGGGGCUUUGGUGGUCUAGGAUGUGCCCAUAGAGGAUGACCUCAUGGUGCAGAGGCCACGGCCCCCUGGAACCACAAGCCAGGACAGCUGUGUGUCAGUAUGACCACCAGGUGGUGCCAUCCACCCGUGUUUGGUCUGGGAGCCCAGCAAUGGGGCCCUGUCCCCCACAUUAUGGCCCCUUCUGCCAAGACUCAGCCUGAGGGCUCCCUGGGGCCAGGGAAGGAAGCCCAGGAAUGCCAGAAAGCUCUGUUUCCCGGGCAUGUGAGUCCCACUGCACCUCUGCCCACAAGUAAUUGACCCAGCAAGACUGGUACCAGGACCUCAGGAACAGGCGCCUGCUCUGCUUGCAAGUGGGAGGCCUGAAAAGGGGUCCCCUUCGCCCAACAUGAGGAGGGCCCGUAACUGCUCUGGAAGCACCUUGGCCCAUCGCAGCGCUGAUUCUGUGCUGCAGAACAUGCCAACCAUCAGCCCCCCACUCUCCGCACCACCACCCCUCCCUCAGCUGGAAGGAGGGCCCGUUUCUAAAAUCACCAUUCCCACCUGUGCCCGGCCCUGGCCAGGCACACACGGAGGCUCUGAAAGGAGACCCCUGCCCCACCAGUGAGACAGAUUAAGGAGCACUGUUGGUCAGCGCUGGGGGUUUCUGGAGGUGAGAACUUGGUGAGGGUAAGAACAGGGGCCUUCCUGGGUAGGGGACACAAGCUGGCCUUGAGGGACACGCAGGACUAGGGCAGAUGGAGAGCAAGGAGGCUGGGCCUGGAGGGUGACCUUCCCUGGGGCCUUCCCUGGGGUGACAGGGAAGGUGAAUGUGGGGAGGGCCCUUUGUGCAGGGGAGCCAGAGCAGGGCCAGCAUUGAUGCCACCUGAAGGCCUGAGCCGCAGCAGGAUUGGAACCCUGGUGGCAGCCCAGGGCUGGGGAGGAAGGGGUGGGUGAGCAGGGCAAGGCAGAACCUUCACAGGCCUGUGUUCCCAGAUGUGGGAGGGGGCCACUGCGCCCAUCCCUACAGAGGCCCUGAGGAGCAUGGACAGUUACUCUGGGCCCCUGAGCAUCUGGUUUACGCCAUUGAGCAGCCCAGCAAAGGGCGGAUAGUGCUGUGGGCAGCGCUGGGCACCGAGGUGCGCAGCUUCGUGCAGGCUCAGCUGGGCGGUGGGCUCGUGCUGUUCUCACACAGAGGUGGGUGCUGAUGGCCAGGCCCUGGGUUCCUGCUGCCUGCAGGGGUGCCCUGAGAUGAGGAGCCAGCUCGGGCCGGCCGGACCCAAUGACUCUGUCUUCAGGAGCCCUGGACGGAGGCAUCCACUUCAGCUUCUCUGAUGACAAGCACACUUCCUCCAGACACUUCUUCCGAGUGGCGGCCCAGAAGCAAGUGCUCCUCUCGCUGGAGGGCAGCCAGACGCUGACUGUCUGCCCGGAUGGGUGUGCUGAUUGUGGGCAUUCCGGGGUGUGCCAGGAGCUGGGGCAGAGCUGAGGGUGGCACGCCAGGGUCACGCUGCCUCUCUGCAGAGACAGGCCUGUGCCUGGAUUUCAAAGGAUGGUGGCCCCUUUUGCCUCUGGCAGGGACCAUCCAGCCAUUCAGCCAUUCAGCAGCCAGAGCCUCAGAGGCAGCUCCAGUGCAGGCACCAACCCCCAGCUUCUGCUCUACGGUGUGGUCCUGGGCCCCCAGCCGGGCCGGCUGUUCCAUGUCCAGCAGGACAGCAUAGGGGAGGACAUGGUGAACUUCACUCAGGCAGGAGGUAAGGGCCUCACUCUGCAGCCACCACUCAGAUGCCCACAGCCUCAGGUGGCCACUGUGCCAUGGACAUCAUGUGGACGUGGGUGCAGGUUCCAGCAUCGCUGGCAGCAGACGCUCCCGGUCCUGCCAUGGUCCAGGCCCUGGUGUCCUGCCCUCCAGGAGCCACCAGGCUGGCAGAGCAAGUUCAUGUUCCCAGAAGGAGAAAGAAGGAUGCAGGAAGUUGGGGAUACAGGGCCCUAGAGCAGGGCUGGGGUCUUGGGGUGUGGCUUCCAGAAGGAAGCUACAGCCAGACCCAAGGGUCUGGAGAGGGGGCACCAUGUGGGGGCACUAGUGGCACCCCAGUAGCUGGCGAGGGGCAGCGCUUGGUCCAGAGGGUUGGAGUUGGAGGUGAAGCAGCUGCUGGGCCUGUGGGCAGAGGCGUGAGCCUGGGGCUCAGGUCAGGUGCCAGCCAGAGGCAGAGUGGAUCCUAGGGGCAGAUGAGCUGAUGAAAGGCAGCUGAGUCGGCCAAGAGGGUGAAGCCAUGGUUCAUCCGUCCUGGUGGCUUCAGAGACCACUAGGAAGAACUAGAGCUCUCAGCCAUGGGUAGCAGCAGACUAUCUGUGAUCACUGUGCCAUGGGGGCCGGGCCAGUCAUCGCUUAAACGAACACCUCUUCCCGAAGGCAGAACAGGGGUUGUUCCAUAGCAGGGCAGAGUAGCGCAGACUCUUCCGUGGGCCAUCCUGGGCAGGUGGUGCAACUGAUGCUCCCGCCAGGAGGCUGCAUGGGCAUCUGGACCCAGCAUAUGAUCACAGUGAGUUCUGGGUAGGGAGUGGUCUUGUGGGGCGCAGAGCUGACUCUGUCACUCAGGAGCCAUGGCAUGCUGUACUGCCCCAAGUACCUCCAGAGGGGUCUGGCUGGCUGGUCCCCCCGCCAGCCCUUGAAAAUGGCACAGCCCACCCCUAGCCCCCUUUCCAAGUCCCCUUGCUUGGGCAGGGACCUCCUGAGCCUGGCACUCUCCCUCCUGAGAGGCGCAGAUGGUAUUCAGCAAGUGCAAAGCCGAGGUUUCUUGGGCCUCUCACAUCAACACCUCCCAGGCCAGGUUCUGUAUUUCCCUGGAGCCCCACUCCUGCUAUGGCCCCCUCCCCACGAUGAGAUAUUCAUCAGGCUGGUGUCUACAGCUGCUGUGUACCCUCGGUUGCUGGGAGACUUUGUCAAGAAUGCACAGGAAUGGGGAGGGCACGGGACCCGGCCAUCAGCAACCCUCGCGCACUCUAUAGUCCCACAUUACUCAGAGCUUCCCCUUGCCCCAGCAGUAUGAAGGACUAGACUGAAUGGGCACCAGGCUACCAGGCUGGCAGUGCCACACAGGCAAGUGGGGAAGAAGCUACAUGGGCUAACUGGCCCGCUCGGGGAGGAGGGCAGGACUGGGGAUUGUCUUGACAGCAGCCCUGUCCCACAACACUGAACUGGGCAGGGAAGGGGUCAGGUGUCCCCCCGACAUGGGACUGGAUUCCAGAGCACGGGGCCUGGCUGCCAGAACCGGCCCUCUCCUUCCAAGGCACUGGGACCCUGGAUGCCGGAGCCGCGUGUGGUGGAGCCUGCCCCCCAGGGAGUGCUGAGUCCCGGAGGUGGUCGUUUUUGGGGAGGGGGCUAUGGGGCUCGUCCCACCUGCCCCCUUCUUUCCAGCACUUACAUGGCGCUUCCCUCUAUUUUCACUCUUGGCGGCCGCCCCACACAUUGCAUUCCUCCUCCUUCUCACUGUCCUCCAUCCUCCAUUCCCUCCAACUCCUCUCCCAGCCCCUGGGGUGCCUACCUCAGGUCUGAACCCUGAGAUACGCUGGGUGUGUGGAUUUCCUUCAGCUACCCUGAUGUCCCCACUUCCAAGUCCUGACUCCUUUGAGCCAUCCCAGGGGGUGUCCAGCCACUGGACCGCAGGAGCACAGACCAGGCUGUGACUGUGUGACCAUCAAGGUUUGUGAUGUGUGUGACACAUCACAUGAGUGUGAGAAUGUGAGAAUGGCACCAAGCCUGGGCUAGGACAGAAGCAGCUGGGGAAGGAGCCUGGGGGCCAUGAGCAAUCUGAUUUUUUAUCCACCUCCCCCGCCCCGCCACCUUACCCAGUCUAAACCAAUGUGGUAAGGGUGGCUGCCGGGGAAGGGAUGGGAGUGUCUGAAGCCCACUUCAUUCCCAAAGAUUUCUAAGGAAAAGCAUUCUACAUCCUCUGGCUUGGACUUGUUGACCCAUGGCCCUCUUUCAAGGACAUUCACUCUGAUUCCCAGUGUGCCCUGUUUCCACUGGCCACGUUCUCUAAGGAAGAACAAUAGUAUCUGUUUUUGUUUCCAAAUGGCUGGAGAGUGGGGCUGUGGGUCCAGCACCCAUAAACCAAAAUGACGCAAGGAUUGGGGCUUGCCCUAGGAUGUGCUGAUGACCAACGGAGAUGGGUAGAGGCAAGCAGCAUGGUAUUGGGCAAGACUGGGAGUCCAGAGAUGCUGCUUCACCGUGGGACUUCAGGCAAGUCCCUUUCCCUCCCAGAGCCUCAGCAUCCUUUCUAUCAAAUGAUUUCUUUCUGCCUUUCUCCCAGGGUGGCUGUGGGGAUUAAGGGAGACAGUGGUCAUAGGGAUGCUGUGUUAACUGUAGAUGUGGCCAUAGAAGCACUUUGCUAACUACCAACGUGAGUUGAGACUCUUCAGGGUAUUUGGCACCCAGGUCUGUGGUGAGGUGUGACAUAUGGGAUGUAAGGUUUGAUGCCUGCUCCAACUCUAGUCUUACUAACGCAAGCAAAACAUUUGGCAAGUCAUGACCCUGCCUUGGGGAAAAGGGCAGUCUGGGAGAGCUUCUUCAAGGCAGCCUGGCUUCAAUGGAGUCCAGGGUAUGACUGAGAUAGGCUUAUGUGACGAGGAAUUGGAGGGUAUCUGGGUAAAGAGCUGCAGUGUGGGCAGAGGUUUAGUGUGGGACUCACUGAGGACAGCCACUGGCCAAAGUGGGGAACAGAGACAGAAUGAGAAAGAGCUCUGUGGGGAGGGUGGGGCAUAGGGUGGAGAACUUCAAAGUCCGAAGAGUAUGACUUGUUGGGGCUCAAUGCUCUAGGCAGUAGGGAGCCAUGGAAGGCUCUUAGGUAGAGAAAUGGCAGCUGAACAUUAGCGAGCAAGCGCUGUCUCCACGAGCAGCAUGGAUGGUCCUCUGAGCAUGCCAGCAUGAGUGUGCAGGGAGCUGGUGCAAAUGCCUCUGUGUGGGUGAGCUUCUGUGUUGUGACUCUGCCCAUGUGUGUGCUUCAGUGUGCUGAGUGGCUGCACGCCCCAGAUCUGUGCUGCACGUGCCAGCCAGUGAGGGUGCUGGGCACUGGGAGGUGGCAGGGAAGGAGGCGUAUGCGUGUUGUGGGCAUGUGUGUUAGCGUGUGCAUGCCAACAGUGGGGCCUCACAGCAUGUGUGUGCGCACCCCAGCAUGUGCGUGUGUGUGUCCCCCAACCCCAGACCUGCCCCACCCAUGCAUGUGAGCUGCCAUGUUGAUUUGAUGCUGUCUCUCAGAAUCACUAUCAGUGGCCCCUGAGGAGCAUCAGCCAUGGUAGGUACGUGCCUCGCCGCCUGCUGCAUGAAUGGUGUUCCCGCCCCACUGCACCAGCUCCACACGGGGGCACACCUGGGACCUCAGAUCCAGGCUCCCUGCCCCUCCUUUCUGGAGCUGCAGAUUUGCUCUUUCCUCUUUCUGUCCUCGUGCUGUGGCUCUGUCACCUCCCUUCCGUGUGAGCCGUGGGACUCAGCACCACUGCCCAUGGCCUCCAUGGCUGAGCCUGGGUGCUCUUGGAACAGGCUCCAUGCCCAAGCUGGCAGACAUGGGUGCUCUCUGGAGCCAUCAGAGAGGGCAUAGAGCUCAUGGUUUAUGGUAUAGGGGCUGGGAGCUUGGAGGGCAUUGUGUGGGGCUGGACUCUGAGGAGGCCAGAGGUCUAGGAACGUCAUCCUGGGCACUCCAUACCGGUUGUGCAGUCUGAGUCAUGCUGCCAGGGCAGGGCAUCCAGCUCCCAGCCUGGGAGUGCCGAGAGCCGAAUCCACUGCAGAGCAGGGGUGAUAGUCAGGGUCCCACCUCCUCUAUCUGUCGGCAAUCCAGUGAUGAUCUAGGAUAAAACCUUAAAGUCCCAUACACAUGGUCAUCCCACAACACACCUCACAGGCCAGGCAGGGACACACAGCCCACUUCCCAUCCUCCCAGGUACCAUCAUAGCUGCUAGUGUGUGACCAAAGGCAGGGUCCCUGGCCCCCGCUGAAGCAUUACCACAGGCCAGCAGGCUCACACACCUUGGCCAGUUGCUCCUAGGGGUCACCUGUGCUAUUCAGCCAACGGGACCACAGUGCCUGUUGGCCCAGCUGAGCUCUGCCUAGCGAGCCCACCUGCCUCUCCUGCCAUAGACUUUCCCUCUUCUGCUUUUCCCAGCAGGAAGGGCCCAGCCUCACCUAUGAAACCUGCAGCCCCCCCGCCCCGCAACCAGUUGAGGCUCCCGUCUUAGACUUAUAAGUCUAUGGCCAGUGGCAUCCAGCUACCUGCCCUCCCUGCCUUCCCCAGGGUCCCUUCAGAGGACCCUGGUCUUUCUGACCACCCAGAGGGGCCUCUGGCACUCACUCCAGCCAUCCAUCCCUUAUAGCUUCACCACUUUGGUUCAAGCAGUGUUCCUUAUCAGGCCAGGUGGCAGUUGGGUGGGGCUCCCCAAACAAGAGGUGCCCCUGGGCCAGUGGGUUGGAAGACAGGGUGACCAGAGAAGGGGGAAGCCCGAGGGGGUUGAGCAUUGGUCUGAACUGUGGGUGCACUGCCUGGGUGCCAUGGGUGAGGCCAGCAUGUGUGGGCUGGGGAGGGCCACCACAUCCCCCAGGCACCACCUGUGAAGCUCUGGCUCCUCCCUCCAUCUUCCUCCCCUUUCCCUUCCAGCCCCUUUUCCAGGAACCUUUGCCACACCCGCACCUGUGCCCUCCCCUCCCUGGCCCUCCCACAGCUCCUGUGGUGCGCCAGUGCUCUGUGCUUGCCUCACCAGCUCUCUGCUUGCUUUUCUCUCUCCUCUUUUUGCUCUACUUCUCUCCAACUGCCAGCUGAUUGGGUCAGGCAAGUCCACCCCAUCCUGAGAGCCCCAGCCACACUUUGACCUCUAAACAGAUCCUCCUCUUCUCGGAGGCCUCCCUUUCCAGGCCUGCUGGUGGGUCUCCUGUGACUUGACAGUGGCUCCGCAGCCCCAAAGCCAGCCCCCUUCAUCUGUGAUUUAGUCUGUUGUAGUGCUGAGUUGACACAUCCAGGUGUGACCGUUGCUGAAAAUUUGUGCCCCUUCUGUGGUAUGCCCUGCCCUGUUCUAUAAAUAGCUAUAAAUACUCUGUGGUACGCCCUGCCCUGUUCUAUAAAUAGCUAUAAAUA